AAAAUAAAGUUAUAUAAUACGCAACCCUGUAUCACAUGAAAUACGUUCUGAGGAAACUAUUUUGCAAAUCGCAAUUACGUUACAUGCCAACAUAUAAGCAGUGCUAUUACGUUGGUCCUUAACCUAAUAAAGCCAAUUUAUUGCAGUGCUAUUACGUUUGUCCUGAACAUAAUACAUCCAAAGCAGGUUUCUUUUCACACGUAGCAGCUAAUGCUGUUCAUUUUGUUUUAAUUAUUUACUCCCUUUUUUCUGAUCGGGCUACAAAAUAUUAUUUAUGCCAGGGGAGUCAAAUGGCGGCACCCAGAUAAUUUUUAUCUGGCCCUCCAACUGGUUUUUGAUGUUUAAAACCGCUCGCAAUCUGAUAUCAAAGUCCCCGCAAAGGUUUAGCGUUUUCAGCGUGAAUGUCAACCCGUUCUCACUCCUGACCGUUCUCACGCUGAAGAAGUCUCCUUCAGAACACAUCGCGAUAUUUGGCAUCAGUUCGCGUGUGCUGGAUGUUGCUGAAAAGACAAAAAGGGCCUUUUGGAAAUGGAUGAAGGAGACAGAAAGCUGCAAAGGCAAAUAAUUGCAAUGAAGGAAAUCCUACGGUUAUGUAUGAACUCACAACAUCAUCAUCAAGUGCUGUGCUGGGCACAUUGGGUAACAAGUGUCCUCCAACGUAUCCAAUCUGUGACCACAUUCUCCACAUCUUCCCAUGGGACACCGACAUUCUUCAGGCCUUCGUUUCCAUGUCUUCCCCUGCAUUCUCCUGGUGGUGUCCACUUCAUAUCUGUCUUUGGGUGUUGUUGUUUGGUCAUGCUUAGGGUGUGUCCGGGGAGGUGCACCCUUCACUCUGUCACAGUUUUUAAAAGUCUUCACGUGGACUCCUCCUUAUGAUCUCCUUGAAACGUGCAGAACCAAUAUUGAAAAUAGUAAUUUAUCUUUUUCCAUAUUCUUGCCUUUAUCAAAGAAGCACCAGUGCUCAUCCGGAGUUUUGGUAAAAGUUCUAGUAAUGCUGCGACUAUAGUCAAAUAUGUAUUUCUGCAUGUGUGUAUAGCAGGUGUUUGUCCGAACAAUUGAAGUUAGUGAGAGUGUUCAGGAAAACCCUCUGAGAACAAUCAAUAUUUAUUUAAUUCUGUUUGGUGCUGAUAUAGAGUAUUACAGAAAUGACACAUUGACAUUCUGGACAUUAUUCUGUGAGUUUGUUACCUCUUCAUUUAGAUGGACUUGAAAAUGUCUUGCAUUUUGUUUCAUUAAACCUUUUAUUACAGUGUCACUAUAGUAAAUGUCCACCUUAACUACAUCUAUGGUAUCAUUAUAUCAGUACCUGGAUAAUGUAAAUGUAACAUACCCAUGAAUGUAUUUUAUAGAAGCAUUUUAUUGCUGAAAAUAUUUAACAUUUAUAAAAUGCAUUAACUAUU